rnacentral:rRNA from 1 species
GACGAACGCUGGCGGCGUGCUUAACACAUGCAAGUCGAACGGAAAGGCCCUGCUUUUGUGGGGUGCUCGAGUGGCGAACGGGUGAGUAACACGUGAGUAACCUGCCCUGGACUUGGGGAUAACUUCAGGAAACUGGGGCUAAUACCGGAUAGGAGCUCCUGCUGCAUGGUGGGGGUUGGAAAGUUUCGGCGGUUGGGGAUGGACUCGCGGCUUAUCAGCUUGUUGGUGGGGUAGUGGCUUACCAAGGCUUUGACGGGUAGCCGGCCUGAGAGGGUGACCGGCCACAUUGGGACUGAGAUACGGCCCAGACUCCUACGGGAGGCAGCAGUGGGGAAUAUUGCUCAAUGGGCGGAAGCCUGAUGCAGCAACGCCGCGUGCGGGAUGACGGCCUUCGGGUUGUAAACCGCUUUCGCCUGUGACGAAGCGUGAGUGACGGUAAUGGGUAAAGAAGCACCGGCUAACUACGUG